AACGAACGCUGGCGGCAUGCCUAACACAUGCAAGUCGAACGAGACCUUCGGGUCUAGUGGCGCACGGGUGCGUAACGCGUGGGAACCUGCCUUUAGGUUCGGAAUAACUCAGAGAAAUUUGAGCUAAUACCGGAUGAUGUCUUCGGGCCAAAGAUUUAUCGCCUUUAGAUGGGCCCGCGUUGGAUUAGCUAGUUGGUGGGGUAAAGGCCUACCAAGGCGACGAUCCAUAGCUGGUCUGAGAGGAUGAUCAGCCACACUGGGACUGAGACACGGCCCAGACUCCUACGGGAGGCAGCAGUGGGGAAUAUUGGACAAUGGGCGAAAGCCUGAUCCAGCAAUGCCGCGUGAGUGAUGAAGGCCUUAGGGUUGUAAAGCUCUUUUACCCGAGAUGAUAAUGACAGUAUCGGGAGAAUAAGCUCCGGCUAACUCCGUG
rnacentral:rRNA from 1 species